ACAGCCCUACUAGCAUCAGGAUCCGCAGCGGAUCCGCUUUCGGUCCGCCAAAUCCGCCCCACAGUCCGUCCGCUUUGCGGAUCCGCUGCGUAUUUGUUCCGUAUUCACUUUCUGAUUGUUGCUAACCCUAACCCUUGGAUGGCCUGCUGUUACAGAGAGAAUCUGCGGUUAAAUCAUCUUAGAUGCGCACUGUGAACGUACUUUUAACACAACACUUUGUUUUUGACACAAUGAUUUGUACUAUCAAUGCGCGGAUCCGCGGCUAAACCGGUUCGGUUUCGCUGCGCGGACGCGCCACUGACUCAUCAGCCGUUAUCGGGACCUGAGUGGAAAGAAGCAGCACCCACCUGUUGUCCGCGGAUUUAACUAUCUGUGACUGUGUGUGUUUUAUCAGUUUUGACGAGUGCAGUAGGAAAGUUAGCGACAGUAGCAGCUAACGUGAUAAAGACGAUGUGAAGUCAGGAGUCAGGAUAACUCCAUCUCUUGAGAUGACAUCAGGAGCCCCUGUCCUUCUGCUGAGUGUCCCCAUCAGGAGCCCGGCACGCUGAUCAGAAAAUAUACUAUGGUUAAUAAGAAGAUGGACAUAACAGCAUGAUAUAGAUCCUCUGGAGAACUCCCUCUGCUGGGCCAAGUUCCGAAAAUGUAGAGACAGACCCUCUAACAUGCUGUGGUGGAGUUUAAAGACUGACCCUCUAUGCUGUGAGAAAGGGGAAGCCCAGUCCUGGACACUGACAGACUGGAUCUUCACCAGUAGGACUGAAGAGGAGCCAGACUCACUACACCUCUGCCUCAAAACCUCUGCCUCAGACUGAAGCUAAAGACAGAGGCUCUGAAGCUCCCACACUGCACACUCUAUAAGAACAACCAUCCGUCUAAUUGUACUGUGGUGGGAAACACAAGUUAAGUUGUAGUUUGAACAGUAUGGUAUGGCUACACUCAGUCUCAUCUGUCCAGGGUUUUACCCAUAUAGCUAAUAUUUGUUUUUUUGCUAUUAAAAAAAAACCAAAAAACUUUGCUUAACUUGAACUAUUUUUAGUAAAAACUGUAAAUUGUCAUUUUCAUAUUAAGAAUGAAGCAUUGGUUAACUCAAAGGGUAUAUAAGUCCUAUACCAUUAGUA